UGUACAGUUAUUUUCGUUUUCUCUAAGGAUACUUACAUUUCGGAUAUUGUUUUAUUAAGAAACUAUUUUGGCCCCAAGGGCUGUAGAAAUCAAGAUAUGAAGCAAUACAAUAUAAUUUUAGCGACUGUGAUAAUUUGUGUGGAUUUCAUUGUUUUAUUAAAAGCUCAACGGCGAGAAAUACCUGUUGAUUGUCCUGCUGGUUGGGAUGCUAUAGAUGCUGUUUGUUAUAAAUUAUUUACCGAUCCUGUACCAUAUGAUAGUGCUCAUAAAGUCUGCCAAACGUAUGGAUCUGAGUUAGUACGUCCUAAAGACUACUAUAACAAUGAUGAUAUUGGCAAAUAUGCUGAAACCAUGGGUGGUAGUGAUUUCUGGAUUGGAGCCAAUCGAAUGGGAAUCAGUCCAGGAACCCUGGAUAAUAUUAAUUACGGUCAGUCAGUCAUUAAAACUACUAAUGUUGGUUAUUGGGCUGACUACCAACCGGAUAUCAAAAAGGGAGAAUGUGUUUAUGUUACAAAAGCUGAUGAUCGGUUUAAAUGGAGUUUCGGUCCUUGUGAGAAAAAGGUUCAGUAUGUUUGUUCCAGACCAGCCUGUUCUCAAGGAAGUUUUCAUUGUGUAAAUCAGAAAUGUUUAAACCAGUCAUUAACAUGUGACGGUGAAGAUGAUUGUGGUGAUAUGUCAGACGAACAAAACUGCGCUGAUCGAUGUGGAACUGUCUUUAAGCAAGCAUCUGGGAACAUCAUGUCUAAAAACUUCCCUAGUCCUUAUCAAAUGAAUACAAAUUGUUUAUGGUUGGUUGAAGUGCCACUAGGCUCUAACGCACAUAUCAAGUUUACAGAUUUUAUGACAGAAGAAGGAUUAGACAUUGUGAGAAUUUAUGUUGGUGGCAAAACAGAAUCUAUGUCCCAUCACGUUGCAACCCUUUCUGGAAAUAUGAGUGCCAAUUUACCUGAAUUCACCAGUUCCAA